rnacentral:rRNA from 1 species
UAGGGAAUCUUCCGCAAUGGACGCAAGUCUGACGGAGCAACGCCGCGUGAGUGAAGAAGGUUUUCGGAUCGUAAAACUCUGUUGUUAGAGAAGAACAAGUGCUAGAGUAACUGUUAGCGCCUUGACGGUAUCUAACCAGAAAGCCACGGCUAACUACGUGCCAGCAGCCGCGGUAAUACGUAGGUGGCAAGCGUUGUCCGGAUUUAUUGGGCGUAAAGCGAGCGCAGGCGGUUCCUUAAGUCUGAUGUGAAAGCCCCCGGCUCAACCGGGGAGGGUCAUUGGAAACUGGGGAACUUGAGUGCAGAAGAGGAGAGUGGAAUUCCAUGUGUAACGGUGAAAUGCGUAGAUAUAUGGAGGAACACCAGUGGCGAAGGCGACUCUCUGGUCUGUAACUGACGCUGAGGCUCGAAAGCGUGGGUAGCAAACAGGAUUAGAUACCCUGGUAGUCCACGCCGUAAACGAUGAGUGCUAAGUGUUGGAGGGUUUCCGCCCUUCAGUGCUGCAGUUAACGCAUUAAGCACUCCGCCUGGGGAGUACGACCGCAAGGUUG